GGUUUGUUAGCUCAGUUGAUAGAGCUCUGCAUUAGAAUUGCAGAGGUCAUGGAUUCAAAUCCCGUACAGGCCU